UGGUUCAGACCCAGGAGUCACAGCACUAAACUCCUUCACUCCCAGACCUCAAGAGUUAGAGAUGCCAUAGUGGCUGUAUCAAGGUGCAAGUAUGGACACCAAGCGGGGAAGCGGAGAGGGGGUUGGAUGAAUUGGAAGAUUGGGAUUGACAUAUAUAUGCUCAUAUGUAUAAAAUAGAUAAGCACUGAGAACCCGCCGUGUAGCACAGGGAACUCUACUUCACUUCGCUGUACAGUAGAAAUUAACACAACAUUGUAAAACAACUCUACCCCAAUUAAAAAGAAAAGUUAGAGAUUCCAAGCCCUCCUCCCUCAAGACUCUCCGCUCAGCCCCUGAGCCUCUCCUCACUCAUAAGCAGGGCUCCAGCUCCCCGCUCCCCCGCCGGCCCCCAGGUGGGAGGAGACGGAGCAGGAAGCCGGUGGUCCCAGUUAAAAGGCUCCAGCAUCUUGUACGAGGCAGGCAGAGCUGAAGUCCGGGGUGCUCUUCCUCUGGAUCCGAAUCAGUAGGUAAGCCCGCCCCCUGAAUUCUGCAAGGUGAGAGGCCAAAGUUCUCAGACACGGGCAUCAGGCCCCUGAGCCCCCUCCUCCAGGGCCCAGGACCUCAACCUCAGAUCCCUUCGUGCUUUGCGACCCAGGAAUCCGCAGCCCAGCCCCGGCUCUCCACGACUUAGGAGUCCCAGUUCGCAGUUCCCUUUCCCUUCAGACCCGGGCGUCUGGGGAUCCCAACUCCCUCCUUCCUUGGAUGUAGGACUCCAGCCCCUGAGCUCCCAGCUCCUCAGAUUCCGGAAUCUGGGGCCCCAGCCCGUUCUUCUGCAGACCCAGGAAUCGGGGGCCCCAGCCCCUUCCUCCAGCGGGACCCAGAAGAACUGCCCCAGAAGCUCUGCUUCCUCGCCAGUCCCAAGAUCCCUAGGAGUUUGGUCUCCUCCCUCCUCCGCUCAGCCCUGUCCUCUCUGUCUCCCAGACCCCACCACGGGACAGCCCACACCUGCUGCAGAGUCUGGAUCUGGAUGUUCCCGCUCUUGCUGCUGGAAUCCCGGGCAGGACACUUGAGAGCACAGGAGACCAGGGUGCUGGAGGGCCAGGAGUGCAGGCCCCAUCAGCAGCCUUGGCAGACGGCCUUGUUCCAGGGUGUCUCUCCCCCUGCCCCGCUCAAACUUCUGUCGCCCAUCCACACCUCUUAACAUCUCUCGUCUUCCCUCCUGCCUCCUGCCCGCUGCUGUUCUCUGCCCGCACUGAAGCCACGAUGCAGAAGGUGGUGGCAAAGUUUUGUUCACGAGCAACGAGGAAGCCGCUGGUCACUCGUCUCUGAGAGGAGCUCUCAGUCACCCAGCCUGGCUUCCUCCACCACUCCCUGCCGUGUGACCCUGGGCGAGCCAAGCAUCUUCUCUGGGCCUCAGUUUCCUCACCUGGAAAAUGGGAACAAUAAAGUGUGUACCUCAUAAACGUGA